UGCUGGUCGAGUAACAGACAGG
rnacentral:siRNA from 1 species